AGUGAACGCUGGCGGUAGGCCUAACACAUGCAAGUCGAACGGCAGCACAGUAAGAGCUUGCCCUUACGGGUGGCGAGUGGCGGACGGGUGAGGCAUACAUCGGAAUCUACUUUUUCGUGGGGGAUAACGUAGGGAAACUUACGCUAAUACCGCAUACGACCUACGGGUGAAAGCAGGGGAUCUUCGGACCUUGCGCGAUUGAAUGAGCCGAUGUCGGAUUAGCUAGUUGGCGGGGUAAAGGCCCACCAAGGCAACGAUCCGUAGCUGGUCUGAGAGGAUGAUCAGCCACACUGGAACUGAGACACGGUCCAGACUCCUACGGGAGGCAGCAGUAGGGAAUAUUGGGCAAUGGGCGCAAGCCUGAUCCAGCCAUACCGCGUGGGUGAAGAAGGCCUUCGGGUUGUAAAGCCCUUUUGUUGGGAAAGAAAAGCAGCAGGUUAAUACCCCGCUGUUCUGACGGUACCCAAAGAAUAAGCACCGGCUAACUUCGUG
rnacentral:rRNA from 1 species